rnacentral:rRNA from 1 species
CGAGUGGCGGACGGGUGAGUAACGCGUGGGUAACCUGCCUUACACAGGGGGAUAACACCUGGAAACAAGUGCUAAUACCGCAUAAGCGCACAGGGCCGCAUGGCCCGGUGUGAAAAACUCCGGUGGUGUAAGAUGGACCCGCGUCUGAUUAGCUUGUUGGCGGGGUAGAGGCCCACCAAGGCGACGAUCAGUAGCCGGCCUGAGAGGGUGGACGGCCACAUUGGGACUGAGACACGGCCCAAACUCCUACGGAAGGCAGCAG